GGUUCGCUAGCUCAGUUGGUAGAGCAACGCCCUUUUAAGGCGUGGGUCCAGGGUUCGAGCCCCUGGCGAGCCA
rnacentral:tRNA from 1 species